rnacentral:misc_RNA from 1 species
ACGGUAGCGCUGGUAGCAUCAUCCACCGUCGUCGGCUACCACCACCAGGCCAGGCCAAACGGCUCCUCCACCACCACCACCACCACCGACAACGAUAACCACCGGGGAACGAGGAGCCCGGUGGCAGGCUACUCGCGCAGUCUCCUGACCGCGUAGGCCCCCAAUACACCAACAACCGCUUCUCUGACCGUUCAAGGCGCCCCCCGGUCGAAGCGGAGGAUCAAAAUGUCGGAGACGGAAGACAUCCGUGCCGUAGUGGAGAACAAUGAUUUCCACAGCAUCAUCGAGGAGGAGAGCGGCCGGUCCAGCUCCGCGGAUUAUUUAGACACUUAUGACGACACGCCGAAGGAAACGAAAGAGCUGUCCGAGGAGAGCAACGAGGAAGAGUUCAAGGAGGACAAGGAGACGUUCGUAGAGACGGUGAAGAAACCGCUUGAGGUGGACAGGAAGGAGAUCACGCAACCAGCGCGUACAACACCGGAAACCAUCACGUCGUCGUCGCCCAGUGCCGUCAUUAUCGACACGAUCCAACCGGAAACGGUGGUCGGUAAGGUAGGGACCGCAGUGAACGGCGAUGAACCGGCCGGUCACGCUGCAGCAGUUGGUCAGUGGAAUUCUACGUUACCGGCGUUAGUGGAGCGUCUCCGUUCAGCGCUCGAACACACCCUAGCGGGUGGAGCCGAAAAGCAGUCGGUGGAGGAGGAGGUGAUUCAACAGCGGCCAACACGCGAGGAUUCCGGCGUGGACUCCGAGGAGGACUUCCGGAUACGUACGUCCAUGGAACGUGUGCUCGUCGGUUGCACCGAACCGGAGCUCAGGAAGGAUCUAAAGUUUCUCGAGGAUCUUCUGUUGUCCGACAUCCAGACCGCCCUGUCGCGGCUACGGGAGACCUUGGAACGUACGGACGUAGCCGCGUUGGCAAGAAACGGCGCCGCAUCCGAUUCCACUGGAAAGCUACACUUGCUGCGACUCGUGUCCAGUCUGUUAUCUAGGCUACAGGUGCCCGAGGUGGAGGAGAAGAAAAUCCUACAAUCGGAGAAAACGACGACCCCGGUACUGCCGUCGACGUCGUUGAGCAGAAGACGCAGAGGAACUAGACACACCAUCGGCGUCUCGACGGAGGAAUUGGCCAGGGCCAGGAAGUGGUUGGAGGAGGAGAGAAACAGCGGUUGCUUGCCGCUGGAGGACGUGCGCCCGGCGAAGGAGAGGGGUCAGAACGGCAACAACGAGGAGACGGUGAAUUUGGAGAAGAGGUCGGAGGAGAUACGAGACAAGUGCGUAAAGGACGCGAUCAAUCAGCGCCAGCUGUUGGAGGACAAGAACAAGGAGAUCAGAGAGAGCUACAAAGGCGGCCAGGAGGUGGACGAUAAACAGGUCGAGAGUACGUGUCGGUAUAAUAAUAUUUACCAAGAGAGUAACGUGAAUAUUGUCGAGGACAACGAGGUGAAGGGCCGAGUGAGCAGAUUGGCGGAGAUACUCGGACAACGGGCCGAGUUAGCGGCCAGUCGGUAUCCUCCGGCAAAUAAGUUCACCGCGAAGAAAUCGAAGAUCAAACGUGCGAACACCAUCGACAUACCCAGCUAUCUGAAGCUACAGACGGAGAGUCUCGGUCGCAAGAGCACUGGCUGCGUUUCCCUUCGGCGACCGAUCAACGUCGGGGACAAGGCGAGCGUUCAUCGUACAGGGACCAUUGUGCCGAGCUUUCAGCCGAGAACGGAGAACGACAGGAAGUUUCUCGCGUUGAUCAACAAGAACAACGACGCGCCCGCGAACACGGUGGUGCCGUUUAAGGCGUUCGGGUUCGCGAAGACAAUGGACGUGCCCCCGUCUACGGCGCAGAAAAACUGGACCAGCCGGUUCUCGAAUAUCAAGACGACCUUCGACAAACCAUCGGGGAACGAGGACAGGGAGAAUAGACCGUCGUUGAAGGAUCGUGCGAACAAGAUGUUCCCCGGGGCGGUACAGAAUUCUUCGUAUCCGUCAAAUUCUGAUUUAGGCUCGAAUUAUAAUUCUCCCGUUAUGAAAGACUUCGGGGGCGGUUUCAGACACGCGCCAUCCUCGCCGUUCAAGAAAAUCGAGAAAUCCCCUGUGUCCCCGUCGAAGGUUCCGCCGGCGUAUCAUUGGCCCAAGAACGCCCCGGUGCCGACGAAUAACUUGAGGGAAAAGGCGAGAAUGAUGUUCGACCGGGAGAACGCACCAGCGAGGUCUAGACCCACUGCAGAUCGCGAGAAACCCGCGUUUCCGCGACCCCCUUGGAUCGAUCACGAGAGGAACGGGACAGUGACGGAGAACGGUCGAAUCGAUUAUAAAUCGUUCUGCAAACAAUUCGCCCCUUUUGUCGGCAAGGCCGCCAUGGAAACGAAGAAGCAGCGCGAGGAACAAAGGAUUCCCGGUGUGGUGGACGGUAAGAUCUCGUUCAAGAUCCCGGAGGGACGCAAACCCCCGAGAAUCCAUCAGUAUCCGGUGGAACGUCCGUUGAUAAAGGAGAAAAUUGGACCGGAGAUCAGGAACAGCUACGAGACGAUCAAAGGAAACGGAGGAUACGGUCAGAAAGAGCCGCCGAAGCCGAGGUUUGCCGACGCUACAUUGCGAGGUAGCUCGUCGGUAGCUGUACAGACCGGUAUCAACGAGGAUCAUCAGGACGAAGGACGAUCGUUCAGAGUAGCGCCGAAGAUUCCGAAAGGAUCUAUGGUUUGUAGCAACGUUUCCGUUCAAACUACCGAUCUAGAGAGACCGUGUGCGUCGAUAAGCGACACGGACACUCGGAAGCAAUGGACACCGAUCGUCGAUGAAGGAUCGACCAUUCAGCGUGGUGUUGACCAUCAGAGAUUCGUCUUGGACCACAAUCAGAGCUAUCGUACGGUUUCAGGUGAUUCCCCGAUGUCCAGUCCACGUCGGUCGUCGAGCGAACAGAACAACAGAGACACUGUUGUUACCCAUCAGGCCGGUCACCAAAAACAACCUGGAAAUCCUGUUAAUCUCCCCAAGGAUCCAACGCACGAGAUUCAGGGUUAUCAGAAGGAAGACGAAGAAGGUCCCGAUCAGCCCGUCGUUUCUCCAACGAGCCUGCCAACCUACGAUCGUUCGCAGAAGGAUAAGUCAACAGCGGACUGGCCCGUAGAGGAUCCGGCGUUCCUGGACGAUCAGAACAUCCAGAACCAGGACAUCAGUCCCGACGUCGGUGUGGUGACACGGUACACCUGCGCGAUCGCCACCGUCGCCACAUCGGUCGACAGUCCUGAACCGCGUUCCGAAGAGCUACCGUUCAUCGAGUCACGCGCCUCCUCGUCACCCUCGCCCUCCCGAUGGUCGUCCAGGUCCAGGCCAACAACCAGCGAGACCGCCACGCCCGAGGACGAGAUACGUAGGCACAAUCUGUUGCAACAGAGCCUGGUCCGGCGUCUGCAGAACGAGAUCGCCUGCCUGAACGACGAACCCCCUCGGUAUCAAGCUGACUCCGGUCAGCAUGUAACCGUGACAUCUAGAAGUGUCAGCCAGUCGUCUGGCGUGGCUGAACCGAGUUACAGUCUCCACCAGAGUCAUCAACCUAGCGCUGCUCACGCCCAACAACGGAACUUCGGUGAAUCCUCCGGGAUCAGUCAGUCACCCAUGUCUAUCCAAGGGUCUCCGCAAAGCAUCGAUCAAACCUCGAACAUCAACCGUCCUCAACAGAUCCCUCAGAGCCACCAACAGAGCUUCGACCAUCCAGCGAACUUCGAUCAAUCGCCGAACGCCCAACCAUCGAAAUUCGGUAAAUUCUUAACUCCAAUCCCCCAGAAAAAGCCAGAACCGUCCAGGACGACCCAUUCGCCCAGUCCAAUUCCAGCGAACCGAGUGGUCUCGCUCCGUGAAGCCUACGAGCUGUCGCCCAGCGGUCAACCGAUCCAGAAGGAACGGUCCCCUGUACCGAACGGGGGGGCGUCGAUCGACUCCAGCGACGAAUACCUGGUCUCCUGCGCGAACAAGUCUUCCAGAUCCAUCGUGUUGUCAAAAUCCGAGUCCUGGCACCAAUUGGCCCAAUCCGCCGGCUAUCCGCGUGCGCCACGUGUCAGCGUACCUACAGCGACAGUAACCUCCAGACCGUCGGUCCAUCCGAAACCACCGAAGCCUAGGUCCCCGUCCUCGCAGAAACUUCGCUCGAAGCAAUUCGAGGCGUCCUCGAUGGCCGACAGCGUGAAGAGGAUGGAGGACAAGAUCAGACAGUACUUCGACAGCCCCGUGGACGCCACUGAAACCAGGGACCAUUCGAAGAGACGUUCACCGAGGACCUUCAACAAGGAAAUGGUCGGCCUGUCUCGUAGCCGUACGAUGCCUGGAAUGUCCGAUGAACGGCUAAGGUUACAGAUACCGAGCACCGUUCAACAGACGCCUCUGCUGAACGUGAACACCGCGGACGUCGAUAAGGUCUUCGACGAUCUGUUCGAGGAGGCCACCAGAACCGAGGGCCGGCAUUGCUGACGCGGACUUCAACGUCGUUUCGUCGUCCUCGACCUGGCGCUAGGUACCAGCCGCGAUCCAAUCGGUUGGGACCGUUGUGGGGACUGUCGUUCUUCUGUUCAUCGGCCCCAACCGGUCGCCACGUGACCUUGAGAACCACUGUGCGGUUAUCUUGCCUCGUGAACACCGAGUGCCGUAUAGUGACACACGAUCCGAGGUGGUCACCGAAGGUUCUGUUUCCAUCGAGAAC